GGCUGGUCCAAAGGUAGUGAGUUAUUUCAAUUGAUUGUUCACAGUCAGUUACAGAUCAAACUCUUGUUGUACUCUUCCCCCCUUCUCACUACUACAGUUGACUAAUUAAAA
ensembl:misc_RNA Y_RNA Y RNA